UUGACCUCGGAUCAGGUAGGAAUACCCGCGAACC
rnacentral:rRNA from 1 species